rnacentral:rRNA from 1 species
CAGCAGCCGCGGUAAUACGGAUGGUGCGAGCGUUAAUCGGAAUUACUGGGCGUAAAGCGCGCGUAGGCGGCUAAGUCAGUCAGAAGUGAAAGCCCCGGGCUCAACCUGGGAAUUGCUUUUGAUACUGCUUAGCUAGAGUUUGGUAGAGGAUAGUGGAAUUCCAGGUGUAGCGGUGAAAUGCGUAGAUAUCUGGAGGAACAUCAGUGGCGAAGGCGACUGUCUGGACCAAAACUGACGCUGAGGUGCGAAAGCGUGGGUAGCAAACAGGAUUAGAUACCCUGGUAGUCCACGCCGUAAACGAUGUCAACUAGCCGUCGGACCUAUUUACAGACUUGGUGGCGCAGCUAACGCGAUAAGUUGACCGCCUGGGGAGUACGGCCGCAAGGUUAAAACUCAAAGGAAUUGACGGGG